UGCCUAAUACAUGCAAGUCGAACGAACUCUGGUAUUGAUUGGUGCUUGCAUCAUGAUUUACAUUUGAGUGAGUGGCGAACUGGUGAGUAACACGUGGGAAACCUGCCCAGAAGCGGGGGAUAACACCUGGAAACAGAUGCUAAUACCGCAUAACAACUUGGACCGCAUGGUCCGAGUUUGAAAGAUGGCUUCGGCUAUCACUUUUGGAUGGUCCCGCGGCGUAUUAGCUAGAUGGUGGGGUAACGGCUCACCAUGGCAAUGAUACGUAGCCGACCUGAGAGGGUAAUCGGCCACAUUGGGACUGAGACACGGCCCAAACUCCUACGGGAGGCAGCAGUAGGGAAUCUUCCACAAUGGACGAAAGUCUGAUGGAGCAACGCCGCGUGAGUGAAGAAGGGUUUCGGCUCGUAAAACUCUGUUGUUAAAGAAGAACAUAUCUGAGAGUAACUGUUCAGGUAUUGACGGUAUUUAACCAGAAAGCCACGGCUAACUACGUGCCAGCAGCCGCGGUAAUACGUAGGUGGCAAGCGUUGUCCGGAUUUAUUGGGCGUAAAGCGAGCGCAGGCGGUUUUUUAAGUCUGAUGUGAAAGCCUUCGGCUCAACCGAAGAAGUGCAUCGGAAACUGGGAAACUUGAGUGCAGAAGAGGACAGUGGAACUCCAUGUGUAGCGGUGAAAUGCGUAGAUAUAUGGAAGAACACCAGUGGCGAAGGCGGCUGUCUGGUCUGUAACUGACGCUGAGGCUCGAAAGUAU
rnacentral:rRNA from 1 species